CGUCCUACAUCGGUAGCACCGUGGACAUUAAACAUCUUUUCCACAAGCCGAUUGACGGUCCAAAUGACCUAACAACCUCCCGGAUUGUCAACAAUAACCGGGAUAGUGCAGACAUUGAAGAAGGAACAAGUUAAGGUCAAAAGAAGGCUGGAGCUGGAAGCAGGAGAAACCCAGGACCUUCAGGAUGGAGGCAGGACCUCCAAAUCCAAACAACUGGUGGCUCCUCUGUCCCAAACACCAGGGAAGGCUCCCUCCGCCAGUCCCGUAGCUCGCCGGUCGAUAUGUGAGAAAUCUCGUUUUGAAACGUCUCUGGGUUUGUUGACGCGGAGGUUUGCAGACAUCAUGAGGCGCUCUCAUGACGGCGUCGUGGAUCUGAACUUCGUCGCCAACGAGCUCAACGCCCCGAAGAGACGCCUCUACGACGUCACCAACGUCCUGGAGGGGAUCAAACUCAUCAAGAAGAAGUCCAAGAACUACAUCGAGUGGUUGUGAGUAU